CUAGCGUAUUUAGUCUGUGUAUGUCUGUGGUCGGCACGUCUGGUAGCAUCUCUGGCUGCUGUUGAUCUUGCUUUUGGAGUAAAACACGGUGGAAGCUGAAUUAGUGAGGAUGACUCCUGCUUCUGUCAUCUCUAAGCUCCUCACACAUCUUUACCUGCACAUGAGGAAAAUCACUUCUGUAGAAUGCAGAUGUUCAGAGGGAGAUGAUGCCACAUCUGGUCCAGCUGAUGGAAGGUCUUGAAGUUCUCUGACUGGCCUCGACUGAAGAUGGUCGUCUCACUGGAUUUAAGGUUCAGAUGCUCAGUAACAAACUCCACCAAUGAGCCAACAGGGAAGCUUUAGGUUUAUUAAAUGUUGCUAUGAAGGUUUCGCUGUUUUUCUUUGUGAAUGUAAUGUGCUCCAACCGAAACUUGAAUUAGAACUUAGAAGUAAAUCCUUCCAUCUGAA